AAGAGGGCAAACCCAGUGCUUGCACUGGGGGUUGUAGGACUGCAAUGUGCAAGAGCUGAGUUUAGCAGAACAUUCUGGAAAGUAUAGCCAUAGAGGGUGAUAGUCCCGUAUGCGAAAAACAAACCUUAGCUAGCAGUAUCCUGAGUAGGGCGGGACACGAGAAAUCCUGUCUGAAGCUGGGUCGACCACGAUCCAACCCUAAAUACUAAUACCAGAUCGAUAGUGCACAAGUACCGUGAGGGAAAGGUGAAAAGAACUGAGGUGAUCAGAGUGAAAUAGAACCUGAAACCAUUUGCUUACAAUCAUUCAGAGCCCUAUGUAGCAAUACAGGGUGAUGGACUGCCUUUUGCAUAAUGAGCCUGCGAGUUGUGGUGUCUGGCAAGGUUAAGCAAACGCGAAGCCGUAGCGAAAGCGAGUCUGAAUAGGGCGCUUAGUCAGAUGCUGCAGACCCGAAACGAAGUGAUCUAUCCAUGAGCAAGUUGAAGCUAGUGUAAGAACUAGUGGAGGACUGAACCCAUAGGCGUUGAAAAGCCCCGGGAUGACUUGUGGAUAGGGGUGAAAGGCCAAUCAAACUUCGUGAUAGCUGGUUCUCUCCGAAAUAUAUUUAGGUAUAGCGUUGUGUCGUAAUAUAAGGGGGUAGAGCACUGAAUGGGCUAGGGCAUACACCAAUGUACCAAACCCUAUCAAACUCCGAAUACCUUAUAUGUAAUCACAGCAGUCAGGCGGCGAGUGAUAAAAUCCGUCGUCAAGAGGGAAACAACCCAGACUACCAGCUAAGGUCCCUAAAUCUUACUUAAGUGGAAAACGAUGUGAAGUUACUUAAACAACCAGGAGGUUGGCUUAGAAGCAGCCAUCCUUUAAAGAAAGCGUAAUAGCUCACUGGUCUAGUGAUUUUGCGCGGAAAAUAUAACGGGGCUAAAGUAAGUACCGAAGCUGUAGACUUGAUUUUAUCAAGUGGUAGGAGAGCGUUCUAUUUGCGCCGAAGGUAUACCGGUAAGGAGUGCUGGAGCGAAUAGAAGUGAGCAUGCAGGCAUGAGUAGCGAUAAUUAAUGUGAGAAUCAUUAACGCCGUAAACCCAAGGUUUCCUACGCGAUGCUCGUCAUCGUAGGGUUAGUCGGGUCCUAAGUCGAGUCCGAAAGGGGUAGACGAUGGCAAAUUGGUUAAUAUUCCAAUACCAACAUUAGUGUGCGAUGGAAGGACGCUUAGGGCUAAGGGGGCUAGCGGAUGGAAGUGCUAGUCUAAGGUCGUAGGAGGUUAUACAGGCAAAUCCGUAUAACAAUACUCCGAGAACUGAAAGGCUUUUUGAAGUCUUCGGAUGGAUAGAAGAACCCCUGAUGCCGUCGAGCCAAGAAAAGUUUCUAAGUUUAGCUAAUGUUGCCCGUACCGUAAACCGACACAGGUGGGUGGGAUGAGUAUUCUAAGGCGCGUGGAAGAACUCUCUUUAAGGAACUCUGCAAAAUAGCACCGUAUCUUCGGUAUAAGGUGUGGUUCGCUUCGUAUUAGGAUUUACUCCGAAAGCGAAGAAACUUACAACAAAGAGUCCCUCCCGACUGUUUACCAAAAACACAGCACUCUGCUAACUCGUAAGAGGAUGUAUAGGGUGUGACGCCUGCCCGGUGCUCGAAGGUUAAUUGAUGGGGUUAGCAUUAGCGAAGCUCUUGAUCGAAGCCCGAGUAAACGGCGGCCGUAACUAUAACGGUCCUAAGGUAGCGAAAUUCCUUGUCGGUUAAAUACCGACCUGCAUGAAUGGCGUAACGAGAUGGGAGCUGUCUCAAAGAGGGAUCCAGUGAAAUUGUAGUGGAGGUGAAAAUUCCUCCUACCCGCGGCAAGACGGAAAGACCCCGUGGACCUUUACUACAGCUUGACACUGCUAUUUGGAUAAGAAUGUGCAGGAUAGGUGGGAGGCUUUGAGUAUAUGACGCCAGUUGUAUAUGAGCCAUUGUUGAGAUACCACUCUUUCUUAUUUGGGUAGCUAACCAGCUUGAGUUAUCCUCAAGUGGGACAAUGUCUGGUGGGUAGUUUGACUGGGGCGGUCGCCUCCCAAAUAAUAACGGAGGCUUACAAAGGUUGGCUCAGAACGGUUGGAAAUCGUUCGUAGAGUAUAAAGGUAUAAGCCAGCUUAACUGCAAGACAUACAAGUCAAGCAGAGACGAAAGUCGGUCUUAGUGAUCCGGUGGUUCUGUGUGGAAGGGCCAUCGCUCAAAGGAUAAAAGGUACCCCGGGGAUAACAGGCUGAUCUCCCCCAAGAGCUCACAUCGACGGGGAGGUUUGGCACCUCGAUGUCGGCUCAUCGCAUCCUGGGGCUGGAGCAGGUCCCAAGGGUAUGGCUGUUCGCCAUUUAAAGCGGUACGCGAGCUGGGUUCAGAACGUCGUGAGACAGUUCGGUCCCUAUCUGCCGUGGGCGUAAGAAGAUUGAAGAGAUUUGACCCUAGUACGAGAGGACCGGGUUGAACAAACCACUGGUGUAGCUGUUGUUCUGCCAAGAGCAUCGCAGCGUAGCUAAGUUUGGAAAGGAUAAACGCUGAAAGCAUCUAAGCGUGAAGCCAACUCUAAGAUGAAUCUUCUCUAAGCUCUCUAGAAGACUACUAGUUUGAUAGGCUGGGUGUGUAAUGGAUGAAAGUCCUUUAGCUGACCAGUACUAAUAGAGCGUUUGGCUUAUCUUU
rnacentral:rRNA from 1 species